rnacentral:tRNA from 1 species
GGAGAGGUGGCGGAAUGGUAGACGCGCUGCUUUGAGGUGGCAGUGCCGCGAGGCGUGGGAGUUCGAGUCUCCUCCUCUUCA